rnacentral:lncRNA from 1 species
AACACAGAUGACAGAGAAGCAGUGUCAUGGUAUGUGUUUUAUUGCAGAGUCACAUGCUCUAACACAAUGAAGCUUGUGCUUGGUGUGUGCCAGGUGAACCAUACUGCCAUUGCACAUGAAAUAUCAAUAUGUGUUAAAUUCGUGAGGAAGCCCUGCACGGC